rnacentral:rRNA from 1 species
UACAGAGGGUGCAAGCGUUGUUCGGAAUUAUUGGGCGUAAAGGGCGCGUAGGCGGUGCCACAAGUCACCUGUGAAAUCUCCGGGCUUAACUCGGAGCCUGCAGGCGAAACUGUGGUGCUGGAGUGUGGGAGAGGAUAGCGGAAUUCCCAGUGUAGAGGUGAAAUUCGUAGAUAUUGGGAAGAACACCGGUGGCGAAGGCGGCUAUCUGGACCGACAUUGACGCUGAUGCGCGAAAGCGUGGGGAGCAAACAGG